rnacentral:lncRNA from 1 species
CAAAUGUAAUCAUGAUACUGAAGUUUAGGUUUUCCUAGAAUGGACACAUUCGUUGUUUUAAUUUGUACCACAACCAUAGAAGUGACUAAUUGAUUUUUUUAAUUGUUUCAGAUCCAAAACUUACAGAAGGAAAUUGUGAAAAAAGAAAAAUUACUGAACUCUGUUGAGAUGAAGGUAAAUAAUUAGGUGAAAGUAAAUAGUUAGAUGAAGGUAAAUAGUUAGGAGGGCUAUUCUGUCUGGAUUUUUUUUUUUUGUUUUUCAUUACCAUAUGAUAUCUAUUGCCAUUGUCAUUAUUUCAUCUCCAGCUGAUCAAUGGUAAAGCAAAACUAGAAAAUAAAACAAAAGCUCAAGAGGAAUGUCUAAGAGAGGUCAGUAAUAACAACAGUUAGUUUAAUUUAAUAUAAUUUUAUAUUAAUUUAACCUGCUGGUCUUUAAAUGCAUCAAAACAUAUAAAAAUAUGUUUUUACCAAAUCUUUUUAGAAUAGGAACUUAAAGAAACAACUCGCAACAGAAAGUGUGAAUUUCCAUAAACUUGAGAAUGAGGUAUUUUAUGUUCUUCUUUUCUUUAGCUAUAGGUCAAAUUCAUUUUAUAUUAAAUCUAUAAUAUUUUUAUUAAUUUGUUUAUUAACCAGAAGCUAUUUGGUUGGGUUUAUUCUUUUAACUGUAAAUAUACUGUCACAUAGAUUACAUUCCACACAUUGUUCUUAUUUUCACUUAAGUUGAAUGAAAUCAAAGAACAGUUUAUAAAAACUGAAAGUCUGCAUAAUGAGGAGCUUAAGAAGUUACAGGAGGACAUUGAAGUCAAGACCGCCACUGAAGCAGAGCUCCAACAGAAGGUACAAAAGCUGAGCCUGGAAGCUUUAGAGGCUACUAAGAGUAAAGAGGAGGUGGAGCUCAAAUGCCAGCAAAAGAUAUCUGACAUGGUAGCCUUAAUGGAAAAGCAUAAGAAUCAGUAUGACAAGAUGGUUCAAGAAAAAGAUGCUGAACUUCAUAGCACAAGAAGAAAAGAAGCUGAAAUAAAUGCCAAUAAUACUUCACUGGAGCUGGAACUGUCAGAGAUGAAAAGAGAGAAUUCACAUCUAAAGCAGCAACUUCAAAAUGAAUCAAAUGAAAGGGACAAACUGAAGCAGGAAAUUAAGGCUUUGAAUACAAAAAUUGAGUCUGUACAUCAAGACAUGCAACAGAAGAGAUCAGAACAAGGCCCCAAAGAAAUUAGGUGUACUGCAAGCCAAAACCCAGCAGCUUCACUGAAAUCCAUGAAGCGAUCAGUGUUCAGUUUUUCAGAAGAGCCUGAAAAUGACAGUAUUAUUAAAACACCAUCUCUGAGUUCAGUCAGUAAGAGGCUGUCUUCAACACCACAAAUUAAGGUAGGAUAACAGAAGUCCUAGUGUUAAUUCUGACAAGAAUUUUAAUUGUAUUAAGCCCUGUACCUAGGGAGAUGUAUUUUACUGUAAAAAAUAUUGGUACAAAGCUAAAACUGUAAGAAAACUGUUUACUUUGUCAAAGCAUUCAAGGACAGAAAUCUUAAAGACUCCAAACUGGAGUUCAAUCAAAAAGGCAACAGGAUGUAUUAAGGUAAGGAAUACUUUUACUACUAGCAGGGCUUCAACAAAAAUGUGCUUUUAUUAAACUAAAAAAAUAAUCAAAUCAGGACAUGGUUUCUUUAAAGCAGGUCAAUGAAAAACUAUCUUACCAUAAAAUAAAAAGGAAACCGCACAGAAAAACA